UUCCGCCCUCCUUCGGCUCGGGUUCCCUCGCGGGUUCUCGGCGUCGUCGGGGCCAAAGGUGCGGCGCGCUCCGCUUUGGUGACUCUGGAUAACUCACUGGUCGAUCGCACGGGCUUCCACGCCCGGCGACGGGUCCCCCGAGGGUAAAAAAAUAUUAUCUGU
rnacentral:rRNA from 1 species